CAGUCGCCGCGGUAUUACGAAGGGUGCAAGCGUUAAUCGGAAUUACUGGGCGUAAAGCGUGCGUAGGCGGUUUGUUAAGUCUGUUGUGAAAUCCCCGGGCUCAACCUGGGAAUGGCAAUGGAUACUGGCAAGCUAGAGUGUGUCAGAGGAUGGUGGAAUUCCCGGUGUAGCGGUGAAAUGCGUAGAGAUCGGGAGGAACAUCAGUGGCGAAGGCGGCCAUCUGGGACAACACUGACGCUGAGGCACGAAAGCGUGGGGAGCAAACAGGAUUAGAUACCCGAGUAGUCCCUGUCUCUUAUAC
rnacentral:rRNA from 1 species